rnacentral:rRNA from 1 species
CACGUAGGGGCCAAGCGUUGUCCGGAUUUAUUGGGCGUAAAGAGCUCGUAGGCGGUUCAGCAAGUCGGGUGUGAAAACUCUGGGCUCAACCCAGAGACGCCACCCGAUACUGCUGUGACUAGAAUCCGGUAGGGGAGUGGGGAAUUCCUGGUGUAGCGGUGAAAUGCACAGAUAUCAGGAGGAACACCGGUGGCGAAGGCGCCACUCUGGGCCGGCACUGACGCUGAGGAGCGAAAGCGUGGGGAGCGAACAGG